CCAGACUCCUACGGGAGGCAGCAGUGGGGAAUAUUGGGCAAUGGGCGCAAGCCUGACCCAGCAACGCCGCGUGAAGGAAGAAGGCUUUCGGGUUGUAAACUUCUUUUGUCAGGGACGAAGCAAGUGACGGUACCUGACGAAUAAGCCACGGCUAACUACGUGUCAGCAGCCGCGGUAAUACGUAGGUGGCAAGCGUUGUCCGGAUUUACUGGGUGUAAAGGGCGUGUAGCCGGGCCGGCAAGUCAGAUGUGAAAUCCCAGGGCUCAACCUUGGAACUGCAUUUGAAACUGUUGGUCUUGAGUAUCGGAGAGGCAGGCGGAAUUCCUAGUGUAGCGGUGAAAUGCGUAGAUAUUAGGAGGAACACCAGUGGCGAAGGCGGCCUGCUGGACGACAACUGACGGUGAGGCGCGAAAGCGUGGGGAGCAAACAGGAUUAGAUACCCUAGUA
rnacentral:rRNA from 1 species